ACCACCAUAGCUCAGUGGCAGAGCAUUGGUCUUGUAAAUCAGGAGUUGUGAGUUCGAUCCUCACUGGUGGCU
rnacentral:tRNA from 1 species